CCUACGGGUGGCAGCAGUGGGGAAUAUUGGACAAUGGGGGGAACCCUGAUCCAGCCAUGCCGCGUGUGUGAAGAAGGCCCUCGGGUUGUAAAGCACUUUCAGUGAGGAAGAACGCCUGGUGGUUAAUACCCAUCAGGAAAGACAUCACUCACAGAAGAAGCACCGGCUAACUCCGUGCCAGCAGCCGCGGUAAUACGGAGGGUGCGAGCGUUAAUCGGAAUUACUGGGCGUAAAGCGCGCGUAGGUGGCUUGAUAAGCCGGUUGUGAAAGCCCCGGGCUCAACCUGGGAACGGCAUCCGGAACUGUCAAGCUGGAGUGCAGGAGAGGAAGGUAGAAUUCCCGGUGUAGCGGUGAAAUGCGUAGAGAUCGGGAGGAAUACCAGUGGCGAAGGCGGCCUUCUGGACUGACACUGACAUUGAGGUGCGAAAGCGUGGGUAGCAAACAGGAUUAGAUACCCUUGUAGUC
rnacentral:rRNA from 1 species